GAUAUACUCCCUCCGUCUCAAAAUUCUUAUCUUAGAUUUGUCUAGAUUUGCCCUAGUAUAUCUAGACAAAGUAUCUAGACAAAUCUAAGACAAGAAUUUUGGGACGGAGGAAGUACAUC
rfam:Triticum aestivum genome assembly, contig: Triticum_aestivum_CS42_TGACv1_scaffold_529032_6DL